UUCUAGAGAAUGUGAGUUAAUGCUUCCUGGUUCCUCCACAGAGUGGACCAGCAGAACUCACAGGUUCCCAGUGCUCCAUCUACCCAGCAGCAUCAAACCCAGCUGGACUCCAUAUUUAUGCUGCUGGAGGAAAACAUUGUUAGUUUUGUGAAGAAGGAGCUGAAAAAGAUCCAGAAGGUUCUGAGUCCAGAUGAACCAGAAGGCUUAGAGAGUCAAUGGAAGGAUGAGGAGCAUAUGAGGGGCAGCAGAAAGGCUUUGGUCAAGAUCACACUGAAUUUCCUAAGCAGGAUGAAACAGGAGGAGCUGGUUGAACAUCUGCAGAGCAAGCUUUUGGCUUCAGUUUGUCAUCGUAAACUUAAAUCCAGUCUGAAGCAGAGGUUCCAGUCUGUGUUUGAGGGAAUCGCUAAAGCAGGAAGUCCAACCCUUCU